rnacentral:lncRNA from 1 species
UGUUUUUAUAGAGAACUGAAGGCAUAGGGUCGGGUGAUCACUAGUCCCCAUCGACACCCUUUGUCCAGCCGUUCCCUUUAAAAACCAAGGGCGCCCUUUUGUGGGCGCCGACGCUAGACUCCAGAUUUCUUAAAAGGCGCCCUUCUGUGGGCGCCGACGCUAGACUCCAGAUUUCUUAAAAGGCGAAGAACGCCGACGCUAGACUCCAAACUUUGCACGGCUCCCCGGGGCUCAGUGCGACAGCUAGUGACCCAAAAAAAUACCAUAACUAUUAAAAGUUGAAGCUUUCCAGCCUGUGGGCAGCAUCUUGUGUUAGUGUGAGGGCCCUUUCUAAUUGUUGCUGCUGCUGAAGGACAGCUGGUAGCCAGUCUUUGUACCAGUUGUCUUUUCCUCCACUCCUCCUUUGGUAUUCUUCCGUCUUUGCUGAGUGGAUGCUGAGGAGGCACCGUAGUGUGACGCAGGCUUGUUGGGCGGCCUCUCUUUGAAUAAUUUUGAGCUCUUUUUCAACUGUUUCGAGAUCUCGAAGGGGGAUUCCUGUUCGGAAUCCUGCCCUGAGCUUGGCGAUCCCUUGUAGGUAUUGUUCUGCCAGGUCGUCAGGAAUUGGUUGAGGUAGGCUGCAGCUCUUGGGCUUGGUCUCGCUUGGACCUCCUUGGUAGCCUCCAGCAUUAGGAUUGCUUGCUCGUCCGGCCAUCCUGCGACUAGAAUAUUUAUUAGUCUAGAUAGGGAAUCGGCGAGAAUGUUACUGGUUCCUUCGAUGUGCUCGAAUUUCACUUCAACGCCGCAUCCGGUUAUAUAGUCGACGAAGGCCAUCCACCGGACCCUAGAAGGUUUGUUCUGGGCAGACUUGUUGAAGAAGCUUAUGAUGGCUUGACAG